GACGAACGCUGGCGGCGUGCUUAACACAUGCAAGUCGAACGGAAAGGCCUCUUUCGGGGGGUACUCAAGUGGCGAACGGGUGAGUAACACGUGAGUAACCUGCCCUUGACUUUGGGAUAACUUCAGGAAACUGGGGCUAAUACCGGAUAGGAGCUCCUGCUGCAUGGUGGGGGUUGGAAAGUUUCGGCGGUUGGGGAUGGACUCGCGGCUUAUCAGCUUGUUGGUGGGGUAGUGGCUUACCAAGGCUUUGACGGGUAGCCGGCCUGAGAGGGUGACCGGCCACAUUGGGACUGAGAGACGGCCCAGACUCCUACGGGAGGCAGAAGUGGGGAAGAUUGCACAAUGGGUGGAAGCCUGAUGCAGCAACGCCGUGUGCGGGAUGACGGCCUUCGGGUUGUAAACCGCUUUCGCUCAUGACGAAGCUUUGUGUGACGGUAGUGGGUAAAGAAGCACCGGCUAACUACGUG
rnacentral:rRNA from 1 species